GUGACAACAAAUCAAUGUCACAAAUCUCUAUGACAUUCAAAUUUAUUGUCAUACACUUGUGACAUAAAACUGUAGAGAUGUCACAAAUUUGUGACAGUGGUUUUUUGACAUUAUGAUUUUCGUCAACUAAAUGUCACAAAGUUUAUAUUGUGACAUAAAUUCUAUGUAUUAUGACAUAAGUACAACGUUAAAAAACCACAUCUCUUGUAGUGGGCCUCCAAGUCUAGCGAAGAGACCUCUUAGAAGUAAGAAGGUUACUCUGGCCCCGAAGAAGAAGGCCAAAAUGAUGGCAGUAGCUUUGCCGGUUCCUGCGACAUCAGCGGAUUUGGAUGCUGCCGUUGACGCCGCUGCCGAGGAGGUCUCCGACAUCGAAGUCCGUCAGUAGGUGGUUGCCUGUCUUUUCCUUUCUUUGCGGUCUCUCGUUAGGCCAUCGGCCAAUGCUACCCCGGUGUCGCCCACUGCUGAUGAUCCGGCUCCUACUGUUGCCAUACCGCCGGCGCCACCGAGUCCAGCCUCGCCAUCUGGCCCAUCCCCGAAAUCCGGCACGAAGCGAAAAAGAGUGGCCCAUCGGUCUCCUAGGCCGGCUACCACCUCCGCACAGCCUCCCGAUACAUCCAGUUUGCUAACUCCACCGGCCAAUACUAACCUGACAUCAGCACCCAUCCCAGAGGGAGUCCCUCUGCCUGCUAGAGCGCUUAUCCCAUCGGCCGAUGCUGCUUCCGUAGCGCAGGACUUGGGAGAUUUCUUCUCUUUUGAUGUCGUCCAAUAUCUGGACCCGCCCAAGGCCGAUGUCAAUGACCCCAUCGAUCUGCCAGCCGACGUCCAAGCAAAGCUUCGUGACAUCCUAGCCAGGCUGGAUUACCCGAUCGACAUGCUAAUCAAUGACGAUGGUCCGAUCAGGUUGAGGAUCAAAGAAGUGCAAGAUCAGUUGCCCGAUGACCUGAUAGACGCCAUUGCCCCGGCGGGUUAUAUUGAAAUUCACGGACUUCCGGUGAUCUAGGCCCGCCGGCGAAUUGAAGACCAUGCCUCCCAAGUUGUGGCCCAAGACAAGGUAGAGGCCGAUCGAGAAAAGGCCGUUAGUGAGAAGGCCAAGUUGGACGAACAUCAGUUGGCCGUGCUGACCAUAUCAGCGCACAUUGCUGACUUGGAAUCAAGAAAUGCUGCUCUGGAAGCGCAGCUAGCCCAAGUUGCGGCAGAUCUUGCUAUUGAAAGAACCAGACUAACCGAUCUGCCCUCAGUCAUCGCCGCCCAGGAGCAAAGCUUAAAGUUGGUAGUCCAAACCGCUGUCCGUAGUCGUCGGUCCCUGAAGGCAGUGGCGGGUACUGACACCGACGACUUGAAGAUUAUCCAGGAAGCUGACAAUGUUCGCUUGCGCGCGAUUGCUGCCCUGAAGAAACAUUUGGGCUUGUAAUUAUCUACCCUUUCUUCUGUAAUCGGUCAACUGUCAUAACUUGAUAUUUCUGUUGGCCUUCGGCAACCCCUAGCUUAAUGAUAUGU